GACGAACGCUGGCGGCGUGCUUAACACAUGCAAGUCGAACGGAAAGGCCGUGCUUUUGUGGGGUGCUCGAGUGGCGAACGGGUGAGUAACACGUGAGUAACCUGCCCUAGACUUUGGGAUAACUUAAGGAAACUGGGGCUAAUACCGGAUAGGAGAUCCUGCUGCAUGGUGGGGGUUGGAAAGUUUCGGCGGUUGGGGAUGGACUCGCGGCUUAUGAGCUUGUUGGUCGGGUAGUGGCAUACCAACGCUGUGGAGGGUAGCCGGCCUGAGAGGGUGACCGGGCACCAGGGGACUGAGGGACGGACCAGAGUGCUACGGGGGGCAGCGGGGGGAAACAUUGCACAAUGGGCGGAAGCCUGAUGCAGCAGCGCCGCGGUUGGGAUGACGUCCUGCUGGUAGUAAAACGCUUUCGGCUGUUACGAAGCGUUAGUGACGGUAACGAGUAAAGAAGCACCGGCUAACUACGUG
rnacentral:rRNA from 1 species